rnacentral:rRNA from 1 species
GGUUGUCCAAGUUUAAGGUGGUAGGCUGGAAUCUUAGGUAAAUCCGGGAUUCUAAGGCCGAGAGCUGAUGACGAGUUAUCUUUUAGAUAACGAAGUGGUUGAUGCCAUGCUUCCAAGAAAAGCUUCUAAGCUUCAGAUAACCAGGAACCGUACCCCAAACCGACACAGGUGGUUGGGUAGAGAAUACCAAGGCGCUUGAGAGAACUCGGGUGAAGGAA